GGUGACACUGAACAUUGAGCCUUGAUGUGUAGGAUAGGUGGGAGGCUUUGAAGCGUGGACGCCAGUCUGCGUGGAGCCAACCUUGAAAUACCACCCUUUAAUGUUUGAUGUUCUAACGUUGGCCCCUGACCGGGGUUGCGGACAGUGUCUGGUGGGUAGUUUGACUGGGGCGGUCUCCUCCCAAAGCGUAACGGAGGAGCACGAAGGUUAGCUAAUCCUGGUCGGACAUCAGGAGGUUAGUGCAAUGGCAUAAGC
rnacentral:rRNA from 1 species